rnacentral:rRNA from 1 species
GUGGGGAAUCUUCCGCAAUGGACGAAAGUCUGACGGAGCAACGCCGCGUGAGUGAAGAAGGUUUUCGGAUCGUAAAGCUCUUUCGUUAGGGACGAACGUGCUCUUUGUGAAUAAUGAGGAGUAAUGACGGUACCUAAAUAAGAAGCCACGGCUAACUACGUGUCAGCAGCCGCGGUAAUACGUAGGUGGCAAGCGUUGUCCGGAAUUAUUGGGCGUAAAGCGCGCGCAGGCGGGAUAUCAAGUCUGUCUUAAAAGUGCGAGGCUCAACCUCGUGAGGGGACAGAAACUGGUAUUCUUGAGUGUCGGAGAGGAAAGUGGAAUUCCAAGUGUAGCGGUGAAAUGCGUAGAGAUUUGGAAGAACACCAGUGGCGAAGGCGACUUUCUGGACGAUGUCUGACGCUGAGGCGCGAAAGCUAGGGGAGCGAACGGGAUUAGAUACCCUGGUAGUCC